GAUGAAGAACGCAGCGAAAUGCGAUAAGUAAUGUGAAUUGCAGAAUUCAGUGAAUCAUCGAAUCUUUGAACGCACCUUGCACUCCUUGGUAUUCCGAGGAGUACGCCUGUUCGAGUGUUAUGAAGCUCUCAAAACGCAAUUGUCUUAAAACCUGAUUGUUGUUUUGGAUUUGAACUUUGCCGUGUUAUAACGGCUGGUUUUAAAAGUAUUAGCUGGUACUAGAACGAAUUGGUUCUACUCAACGUGAUAAUUAUCUGAUCGUUGAGGACAUUCCUUUCACGAGGAAUGGCCAUAGUAAAUUCAAUGGACUGCUUCUAAUCUGGCUUUAAUUCUUUAUUGGAUUAACCACUUUUCAAAUCUGACCUCGAAUCAGGUGGGACUACCCGCUGAACUUAAGCAUAUCAAUAAGCGGAGGA
rnacentral:misc_RNA from 1 species